UCACAUGAAGAAGAGAGAACCUGAACAAGAUCACGGCUACGAGCUCUAGAGUUAAAAAUGAACACACAAACCCCCGGGGAGCCCGACCGCGGACGAGGAAUCCAGCCUGGAAAAGCGGGGUGCCCGAGGGGCCGUGGGGGGCACCCGGCUUGGCACAGCCCUGGCCCUGCCACCUCUUCCCCAGGCAUAUUGUCCAAAAUCGUCUAAAUUGGGGCUGUGGGAGCUGCUGGGAGCCAAGGUUGCCACGGGGGGAGCAGGAAGACUGAGGAUGAUCUGGCGUCUGCCACGGAGAGCCACCACCGACCCCCUUGUCACCCCUGUGGGGCUCCCAGGGGUGGGCACGGAGCUCCCGGAGCAGCCCCGGCGCCCGGAUCAGCCCGGCUGGAAGGGGACCCUGUGGAGCUCCGCAUUCCCCCGAGGAGCCCCUUCCAUCCCGGGCUGGGGGCGAAGGCAGGACCGGGGUCCCCAGGGCGGCUGAGGGACCCCCCGCUCCCGCCGAAACCCAAGACGGAGGUAAA